GGACUAUCAUGUCGGUCGUGCCUCGGUACGUACUGGUAUUGUUGGUUUCUCCCUUCUGACGAACCAUGAUGUCAUUUAUUUGGUGUUGUGGGGAAUCAGGACUGUUACUUUGAAAAAAUUAGAGUGUUUAAAGCAGGCCUAUGCCCGAAUACAUUAGCAUGGAAUAAUAAAAUAGGACGUUUGAUUCUAUUUUGUUGGUUUCUAGGAUCGACGUA
rnacentral:rRNA from 1 species